rnacentral:rRNA from 1 species
AUUGAACGCUGGCGGCAGGCCUAACACAUGCAAGUCGAACGAGUGGCGGACGGGUGAGUAAUGUUUGGGAAUCUGUCCGAUGGAGGGGGAUAACUACUGGAAACGGUAGCUAAUACCGCAUACUAUCGGAUGAGCCCAGAUGGGAUUAGCUAGUGGGUGGGGUAAUGGCUCACCAAGCGGACGAUCCCUAGCUGGUCUGAGAGGAUGACCAGCAACACUGGAACGGAGACACGGCCCAGACUCCUACGGGAGGCAGCAGUGGGGAAUAUUGCACAAGGGGGGCAAGCCUGAUGCGGCCAUGCCGCGUGUAUGAAGAAGGCCUUCGGGUUGUAAAGUACUUUCAGCGGGGAGGCGUUACUUGCAGAAGAAGCACCGGCUAACUCCGUGCCAGCAGCCGCGGUAAUAC